CAGAUUUUUCCAAUUCGGACCAGACUAUUAUAGUACGGCUACUGAAAGGAAUAUUUAGAUAACUUAUUAGAUCUACCGAUUACAACUUUGACUUAAAUCGAAUCUAUGAAAUCUAAAAAAAUAUAUAUUCACUGAAGAAUUGUUCGCAAAACAGCACAGCAUGACCAGUGGUGGGCUAAAAAGCACCCCCCUUAUCAAUCUGGAGCGCUUCCAAAAUGUCCGCAAAUCCUAUUUUUACACUUUGCAAGUCUUCAGCUUAAUUUGGUAGGAAGUGACAUCAAAUGAAAUCAACAAUUUGAAACACCAUUUCAACAACGCCCUCCAUACUUGUUUACAUUACAUUAAAACUAGCUUCUUAAUACAUAAGUCGAAUUAUAACUUGUAACAGGCCUCAUGAAGCUAUGGCAGACGUAAGCAGAGUGGGCUAAGUUGUACAAUAUAUGACCUAUAUAUGCAUUUUUUUU